UUAGAAAUUCACUCAGAAACUAAAAGUUUUAGCUUCUCUAAAAUCGAUUAAACUGAAAGUCGGAAUGCAUGAACAUAAUUAUGUUUAUUUGAAUUAACUUUAAUACACGUUUAUACUUUGGGCUUAACGACAGUUCUUGCGUUAUAACUCCGAGCUGAGCACAAGUUGUAUGAUAUGGAAAUGAAAUUUAUACGUGAAAUUGACCCACAUUACAGCAUUUUCGAGCGUCACCACAUUCAGUGUGCAUGCGCAGACGUCGCUGCAUAAAGAAGUUGAACGGCAAAUUUUUUUAGUGUAUCCACGUAGAAAACUGACUGUCUAAUCAUACUCAGAGCACGAUGGCUAACAAACAGCAGCUCAGGAACUCAAUUAAAAUUAAACGAUGUCGUAAUGAUCUUGUGCAUGGGCUUGAUGAUGUGACUAUAAAAAACAUGGUUGAUCAUUUUUUAUCUCAAUCGUUUAUCAAUGACGAGGAAAAGAAUGGAAUUCAAGUAGAAAAGACUCCACAAGACAAAGCUCGGAACUUACACGACGUUAUUCGCCGCAAAGUGGAAAGCCAGGAUAAACAGAAUAAGUCAAAAAUAUUCGAUGGAUUUGUGAAAUGUCUAAGAGAACAUAACCCGAGUUUAGCAUUAACCGUGGAAAAUGCUGAUGACAGUGUGCCGAAUGACGAACUUGACAUAGAUAAUAUCCUUGAACGUGUUAAAAAUAUAGAUUUGAAUGAGAAAAUGUUAAAUCGUAUUUUGAUGCACGUAGACUCUGGAUGGGAACAUGUGGCUACCGAAUUAGGUGUUAGCCAUGUGAAACUUAGUAUUGCUAAGCAAAACACCUCAGACGUACGCACCCAGAUGCUUGAGGUAUUUAAUGCUUGGAAAGACAUACAGCCCCACGGAUCAAAUGGAUUAUCAAAACUUCUAGAAGUCUUCGAUCGCUGUUAUGAAUGCAACAUAGACUUGAAGAAAAUAUAUGAAGAAAUAAAGAAAAAAUAAGAUUAAAAAAAGCCUCACAAUCUCGACUGUCUUGUAUGUUUAUAUUAACAAAGUAUCGUUUAUCCGAUACACUUGUUGAUAUGCACAGAUCAAUAUAUAAAUGGACAAAGAACAGACACGUCGAAAAUGAAAUUAUCCAACACUGAACAGCAUAAUUCUUACAUCGUGGACCGAUAUAAAACAUCGACAUCGACAUGCGAAAACUGAAACUAUGCAUUAUUAACAGACGUUACAUUUUAAUUAUUGAAUACUUUUCAACGAAGUUUAUUUUCGACUUUUAAUAUGGAAACUUACCGGGUGAGAGUGAAUUCAUAUCAAACGCGGAAAGUCUGCUAUGAGAGAAAGAUCAGUAGUAUAUAGCCAUUCCCAGGGGCAACCAGUCUUGAAAUCUUGUGUUAUGGCCUGGGGGACAAUAACGAACAGGAGUGUUUUGAGAACUGAACCCUGAUGAACACCUAAAGAUAUUCUAAAUUUAUUACUGUACUCCUGGUUAACUCUCACUUCUAACAUACAGUAUUCAUAAAGCAUUUUACCCCGAACUUCUUUAGAGCCCACUGUAUCACACAGUGGUGUACACUCAUGAAAGCUUUCUCCAAGUCAACAAAUGUCUAGUACAAUGGUUUAUUCUUAGCCGAAUAUUUCUUCUGCUGUAGUCUGACAAUAAACAUGACAUCUAGAUUGCGUCAGACUGACAUUAUGUUCCCCAGAAUGGAGUCACUAAAGAACAUAAUGGCAUGUUUUUGCCUAUAAUAUCCUUUAAAUAAAAUAACUAUUUAAUUCUUUCCUUAUUAUUAU